AUAUAAAAUUAAAUAUUCUCAUAUAUACCUGUAAUAUGGUCAGGAGUUUCUACGGCUAACCUUAAAUUAGCUUCUAUGGGCAGAAAUAU
rnacentral:ncRNA from 1 species